UAUUGGACAAUGGGCGAAAGCCUGAUCCAGCAAUGCCGCGUGAGCGAUGAAGGCCUUAGGGUUGUAAAGCUCUUUUACCCGGGAUGAUAAUGACAGUACCGGGAGAAUAAGCUCCGGCUAACUCCGUGCCAGCAGCCGCGGUAAUACGGAGGGAGCUAGCGUUGUUCGGAAUUACUGGGCGUAAAGCGCACGUAGGCGGCUUUCCAAGUCAGGGGUGAAAGCCCGGGGCUCAACCCCGGAAUAGCCUUUGAGACUGGAUUGCUUGAACAUCGGAGAGGUGAGUGGAAUUCCGAGUGUAGAGGUGAAAUUCGUAGAUAUUCGGAAGAACACCAGUGGCGAAGGCGGCUCACUGGACGAUUGUUGACGCUGAGGUGCGAAAGCGUGGGGAGCAAACAG
rnacentral:rRNA from 1 species